CAGGGAAUCUUCCACAAUGGACGCAAGUCUGAUGGAGCAACGCCGCGUGAGUGAAGAAGGUCUUCGGAUCGUAAAACUCUGUUGUUAGAGAAGAACACGAGUGAGAGUAACUGUUCAUUCGAUGACGGUAUCUAACCAGCAAGUCACGGCUAACUACGUGCCA
rnacentral:rRNA from 1 species